GCAUAUCAAUAAGCGGAGGAAAAGAAACUAAUCAAGGAUUCCCCUAGUAACUGCGAGUGAAGCGGGAAAAGCUCAAAUUUAAAAUCUGGCGGUCUUUGACCGUCCGAGUUGUAGUCUGGAGAAGUGCUUUCCGCGCUGGACCGUGUACAAGUCUCUUGGAACAGAGCGUCAUAGAGGGUGAGAAUCCCGUCUUUGACACGGACUACCAGUGCUUUGUGAUGCGCUCUCAAAGAGUCGAGUUGUUUGGGAAUGCAGCUCAAAAUGGGUGGUAAAUUCCAUCUAAAGCUAAAUAUUGGCGAGAGACCGAUAGCGAACAAGUACCGUGAGGGAAAGAUGAAAAGCACUUUGGAAAGAGAGUUAAACAGUACGUGAAAUUGCUGAAAGGGAAACGCUUGAAGUCAGUCGCGUUGGCCAGGACUCAGCCUUGCUUUUGCUUGGUGCACUUUCUGGUUGACGGGCCAGCAUCGAUUUUGACCGCUGGAAAAAGGUUGGGGGAAUGUGGCACCUUCGGGUGUGUUAUAGCCCUCAGUCACAUACGGUGGUUGGGAUCGAGGACCGCAGCACGCCUUUAUGGCCGGGGUUCGCCCACGUUCGUGCUUAGGAUGCUGGCGUAAUGGCUUUAAACGACCCGUCUUGAAACACGGACCAAGGAGUCUAACAUGCCUGCGAGUGUUUGGGUGGAAAACCCGAGCGCGUAAUGAAAGUGAAAGUUGAGAUCCCUGUCGCGGGGAGCAUCGACGCCCGGACCUGAACUUCGGUGAUGGCUCUGCGGUAGAGCAUGUAUGUUGGGACCCGAAAGAUGGUGAACUAUGCCUGAAUAGGGUGAAGCCAGAGGAAACUCUGGUGGAGGCUCGUAGCGAUUCUGACGUGCAAAUCGAUCGUCAAAUUUGGGUAUAGGGGCGAAAGACUAAAUCGAACCAUCUAGUAGCUGGUUCCUGCCGAAGUUU
rnacentral:rRNA from 1 species